rnacentral:rRNA from 1 species
CAUUAUUGAAAUAAACUUGAACGGGCUGUUGCUGGCUCUUCGGAGUAUGUGCACGCUCGUCAUCUUUAUCAUUUCUCCAACUGUGCACAUAUUGUAGACCUUUUUGUUUUUUUGAAUCUAAACAAGAUUCAAAAGUUGAGGGACUGCUGCGCUGAAAACAAAAGUCGGCUUUCCCUUGUAUUUUUCAGGUCUAUGUCAUUUUUCACAAACGUGUUUAGAAUGUUGAAUAAUAAAAGUUUAUAAUACAACUUUCAGCAACGGAUCUCUUGGCUCUCGCAUCGAUGAAGAACGCAGCGAAAUGCGAUAAGUAAUGUGAAUUGCAGAAUUCAGUGAAUCAUCGAAUCUUUGAACGCAUCUUGCGCUCCUUGGUAUUCCGAGGAGCAUGCCUGUUUGAGUGUCAUUUGAACUUAUCUCAACCAUGUCAUCUUUUCGAUGUGGCUUGGAUGUGGGGGUAAUUUUUUGCAGGCUUUAAAUUUUGAAGCCAGCUCCCCUGAAAUGCAUUAGUGGUAUCUGAGCUGCUAUUGGUGUGAUAAUUUAUCUAUGCCUUUGGUAACAGGAGUGCUGCUUAUAACAACAACAAUUGACAAAUUUGACCUCAAAUCAGGUAGGACUACCCGCUGAACUUAAGCAUAUCAAUA